UACGGAGGAUGCGAGCGUUAUCCGGAUUUAUUGGGUUUAAAGGGUGCGUAGGCGGGCUUUUAAGUCAGCGGUAAAAAUUCGGGGCUCAACCCCGUCCGGCCGUUGAAACUGGGGGCCUUGAGUGGGCGAGAAGAAGGAGGAAUGCGUGGUGUAGCGGUGAAAUGCAUAGAUAUCACGCAGAACCCCGAUUGCGAAGGCAGCCUUCCGGCGCCCUACUGACGCUGAGGCACGAAAGUGCGGGGAUCGAACAGG
rnacentral:rRNA from 1 species